GACGAACGCUGGCGGCGUGCUUAACACAUGCAAGUCGUACGGUAAGGCCCUUUCGGGGGUACACGAGUGGCGGACGGGUGAGUAACACGUGAGUAACCUGCCCACAACUUUGGGAUAACGCAAGGAAACUGGUUCUAAUACUGGAUAUGUGCCCCUGCUGCAUGGUGGGGGUUGGAAAGCUCCGGCGGUUGUGGGUGGACUCGCGGCCUAUCAGCUUGUUGGUGGGGUAGUGGCCUACCAAGGCGGCGACGGGUAGCCGGCCUGAGAGGGUGACCGGCCACAUUGGGACUGAGAUACGGCCCAGACUCCUACGGGGGGCAGCAGUGGGGAAUAUUGCACAAUGGGCGCGAGCCUGAUGCAGCAACGCCGCGUGCGGGAUGACGGCCUUCGGGUUGUAAACCGCUUUCAGCAGGUACGAAGCUUUUUGUGACGGUACCUGCAGAAGAAGCACCGGCUAACUACGUG
rnacentral:rRNA from 1 species